CAGCCGCCGCGGUAAUACAGAGGGUGCGAGCGUUAAUCGGAUUUACUGGGCGUAAAGCGUGCGUAGGCGGCUAAUUGAGUCGGAUGUGAAAUCCCCGAGCUUAACUUGGGAAUUGCAUUCGAUACUGGUUAGCUAGAGUGUGGGAGAGGAUGGUAGAAUUCCAGGUGUAGCGGUGAAAUGCGUAGAGAUCUGGAGGAAUACCGAUGGCGAAGGCAGCCAUCUGGCCUAAUACUGACGCUGAGGUACGAAAGCAUGGGGAGCAAACAGGAUUAGAUACCCCAGUAGUCCCUGUCUCUUAUAC
rnacentral:rRNA from 1 species